AUAGUUAUCUGGUUGAUCCUGCCAGUAGUCAUAUGCUUGUCUCAAAGAUUAAGCCAUGCAUGUCUAAGUAUAAGCAAUCUAUACAGUGAAACUGCGAAUGGCUCAUUAAAUCAGUUAUCGUUUAUUUGAUAGUACCUUUACUACUUGGAUAACCGUGGUAAUUCUAGAGCUAAUACAUGCUAAAAAUCCCGACUGUUUGGAAGGGAUGUAUUUAUUAGAUAAAAAAUCAAUGCUUUUCGGAGCUCUUUGAUGAUUCAUAAUAACUUUUCGAAUCGCAUGGCCUUGUGCUGGCGAUGGUUCAUUCAAAUUUCUGCCCUAUCAACUUUCGAUGGUAGGAUAGUGGCCUACCAUGGUGGCAACGGGUAACGGGGAAUUAGGGUUCGAUUCCGGAGAGGGAGCCUGAGAAACGGCUACCACAUCCAAGGAAGGCAGCAGGCG
rnacentral:rRNA from 1 species